GUAAACUUCCACCGAAAAUUGGUUUGAACGAGAUCUAGUAAGUAGUUUUUUUUUUAUACAAUUAGAACUGAAACUCAAAAAUUUUUUUUCAUCAAACCCAUACGUGUGGGGUAUCUAUGAAUAGGUCUUCAAAAAUGAUAUUGAGGUUUCUAAUAUCAUUUUUUUCUAAACUGAAUAGUUUGCGCGAGAGACACUUCCAAAGUGGUAAAAUGUCCCCCCCCCCUGUAACUUCUCAAAUAAGAGAAUGAUAAAACUAAA